UCAUUUGAUUUAAUGGAAGUCAGGAUUGUUAGUAAUGUGAGUAAGAAUCACUCACACAUAGUUUCAGGAACAGAUCGCAGUUCUGACUUCCACGUCUCUGCAUCCAAAGGCUCUUCUAUUACUUAGUAACACUAUCGAAAAGGACUUCACUGUGAUUAAUACCUAUAACAAAAUUUGCUCCUACUAGCAUGAAUACAGGUAAUGAAAUGCUAAUUGCUCAAAAAUUCAGUUUCAAAUCAGACAUGCAAUAAUGUGUUCAGAAGAUACUUAUCUAGUCUUAGAAUUAGUACAAUUUAAUUUAGUACAUUUAGAGUGAGUAUUUUUAAAAAUAAUUCUACUCAAUUGCGGCAUAAUGCAGUAUAAGAAUUGAACAUUCACUUAAUUAAACAUUCUACCAGUGUUGUCCCACAGCAUCAAUGAAGAGUGAGGUGAAGUUGAAAAUGUACGAAGAGAAAGACAGCAAGACGUGGAGGAGUGGGAGGCUUUUGCCAAUUUCAUAUUCUCCUGAGAUACCAGGAAAGAGUCUGUCAGACUCCAGAUCUUCCUUCUGUUUUACAUCGCUUCUCCUUUUCCAAGUUGGCAAAUAAACCUUCCCAGUAAAAAUUACAACAAUAAUUAAAAAAAUCCUUUUAUGUACCAAAUAAUGCAAAGCAUAGAGGUGCUAGAAGCCCCACAAAAUCCUGCCCUGGUAUAAGCCAGUCAGUAGCACAGCUGGAAAAUAGGAGAUUUUGCUAGAAAUGAAAAAUAGGCUACUCUGACUCUACUUAUCAUAUUAUGUAGUAUCUGUGUAAUGGAGAAGCUGAGGCUUCCUGAGCAUGGUAUAUUUAUGCUUCUGUAGAUAAAACACAUCAUAAUGAUCUAAGAUCUCGUCUUCAAGAAGUCACCUCUGCAGUAAAGUCACCUUCCAGUAAAGAUCAGAGUCGCACCCUCAGUCCACCCUACGUGGUCCCAACGCAGAUCUCCAGUAGAACCACUAAAUUAACUCAAAACGAGUUAAAACAAUUUUUCCACUUAACUCUUUGAGAACUAAGCACCCCAUAUAAAUCAAACUAUUCAGUAAGAGAGAUAUCGAGAAUGGGACUUAAUUUAUAGCUCCUGUUGUUUAAAUUCAUCAACAUGAUCCACAUGUUUUUCUAUAUAUACAAUGGUAAGUACUAAAAAGUAAGGAAACCCUCAGUUACACCAAAGCAAAAUUGCAAGUACACAAACUCCACUUUCCCAGCCAGUCAGUAGAGAUUUGCUAAAUAUACU
rnacentral:lncRNA from 1 species